GUCGUCGGCCCCGGAUCUGAAAACAACCGCUCUUCGCCUUCAGCAUUUUAAUAGUUUGAUGUAACGUUUGCGCUGCUGGCGAGAUAUAAUUCAAGAUGGAAUGCAGGGAUAUACACAGGAGUAAGGCCUUACAAAGGAGCAGGCACCAUCAAUAAUGGUUCUGGCACUUUCUUCUUGGUGAUCGGGGUAGACGAUCACCGAUAUUUGACGGUAUUUUAUGCAAGAAAGACAAGUUGGACAAGAAGGCAGGACUUGUAAAGGGCACGGAACGCAGAAGAACAGAUCACAGACUGCUUAAAGCAGUGUUUUACCAUCGCUGCUCAUCGUUUGGAGGUUGCGAAUAUGUGCACCGUGACACCUUGUGC